rnacentral:rRNA from 1 species
GACGAACGCUGGCGGCGUGCUUAACACAUGCAAGUCGAACGGAAAGGCCCUGCUUUUGUGGGGUGCUCGAGUGGCGAACGGGUGAGUAACACGUGAGUAACCUGCCCUUGACUUUGGGAUAACUUCAGGAAACUGGGGCUAAUACCGGAUAGGAGCUCCUGCUGCAUGGUGGGGGUUGGAAAGUUUCGGCGGUUGGGGAUGGACUCGCGGCUUAUCAGCUUGUUGGUGGGGUAGUGGCUUACCAAGGCUUUGACGGGUAGCCGGCCUGAGAGGGUGACCGGCGACAUUGGGACUGAGAUACGGCCCAGACUCCUACGGGAGGCAGCAGUGGGGAAUAUGGCACAAUGGGCGGAAGCCUGAUGCAGCAACGCCGCGGGCGGGAUAGCGGCCUUCGGGUUGUAAACCGCUUUCGCCUGUGACGAAGCGUGAGUGACGGUAAUGGGUAAAGAAGCACCGGCUAACUACGUG